GAUGAACGCUGGCGGCGUGCCUAACACAUGCAAGUCGAGCGGCAGCGCGGGGUGCUUGCACCCUGUCGGCGAGCGGCGGACGGCUGAGUAACGCGUGGGUACGUGCCCCAAAGUGCGGAAUAACUGCCCGAAAGGGGAGCUAAUACCGCAAAUUAUCUUUGAACCACAGGGUUUAUUAGUUAUGGGCGCGGCUCUGGUCAGGUUUGGAGGGUUGGGCGCUGCAUGAGCUAGUAGGUGAGGUAACGGCCCACGAAGGCGACGAUGCGUAGCCGGCCUGAGAGGAUGACCAGCCAGACUUGAAGUGGGACACGGUCCAGACUCCUACGGGAGGCAGGAGUGAGGAAUCUUCCACAAUGGGCGGAAGCCUGAUGGUGCAACGCCGGGUGCAGGACGAAGGCCUUCGGGUUGUAAACUGCUUUUAUAAGUGAGGAAUAUGACGGUAACUUAUGAAUAAGCAUCGGCUAACUACGUG
rnacentral:rRNA from 1 species